rnacentral:lncRNA from 1 species
AGCAAUAGAGAUUAGCUCGUGGGAACCCAAACCCUAACCUCAUCAAAGGCGGAGGAGUUUGCGCCUUGGAUUGGGAAAAGAGAAAGAAGCAAAAAUUGGCUGUGAGGGGACAAGAAAAUGUUUGAAUAAGAUAUUGCUUUUCUGGUUUAAAAAUGUUAUUGGAAUAUGCGUGUUGGCCAUGCAUGUGAACGUGUAACGAUGUAACAAGGGGUGGUAAUAGAUGAUGGCUCUCAUGUCUUCUUCACAAUUCAACUUAGCCAUACAUAUUUUUAGUUCAAAACAUAUAAUAUUAUGGUCCGGCCUUUAUCGAGUCCAACGUUGUUUAAAUUUCGUAGGAUAAAUUAAAAGGUCCAUUACCACCCCUAGGUGUAACAGCUUGUACGUGCAGGUUAGAUCCGCUAGAAUAGGGCAGCUAGAUAUGAGUUAGUUGCCGCACGUCCCUGCCUUGUAGAUGUACUUAUACACAUCACGAGUUAAUACAAUCGUUGUCGACUUGACUCACAGCUCUCUCGUUUAUAUGGUGGAGGUGAUGGGCACAGGAGUGAUGAGGCAACACGAUAAUGGCUCCUCCAUGGUCCAUGCAUUGAUGGGGUUAGUGAGGGAGUGGACGGCAGCGGUGGAUCUAGCGGCUCUUACCAGAAAGAAGUGCAUAUGGGCCUGUUUGGUAGAGCUCCAGCUCUGAAAAAAUAGCUCCAAAUCCAUAGAUCCAGCUAGCUCCACCAUAGAGCUGCUCCACCGUGAAUCUAAUAUCUCAAAAAGCGUUUGGUACAACUCCAUUCUUGUCUUUUAUCUCACUGGCAAUUUGGGCCCAUUCAUCAGAAUAAAAAAUAUCUCCUUCCUGACGCUGUUGCACGCAUGGUUGAGGUGCUGGAGGGCACGGCCUCGCCGGCGGCCUCGCGCGCACUGGCGGGCUAGCGGCCACGCCGGCGGCCAGGCGACCUCGUGCGCGCGGGCGGGCGCGGCCGCGCCGGCGGCCAGGCGACCGGGUGCGGGGCGGUGCUCCGACGGGCGAAGCGGGGCGGCGGGCGGGCACGGCCUCACCGGCGGCCGGGUGUGGGGCGGGGCUCCGGCGGGCGGGACGGCGCUCCGGCAGGCGGCGUGCUGGCAGGCGUGGCCCCGCCGGUGGCCAGGCGGGCGGGUGCGGGAUGGGGCGCCGGCGGGCGGGACGGCGCUCGAGCGGGUGGGGCGCGCGGGCCGCCGGCGAAGCAAGACGGCGCUCCAACGGGCGGGGCGGUGCUCCGGCGGGUACGGGGUGGCGGUCCGGCGGGCGGGGCGCGGUGGGGCUGCGGCGAGCGGGGCGCGGCCAUGGCAGCGCGAGAGGAAGCUGUGAAGAAAUAGAACGAACCGGUCAUUUUCCACUAAUGAGUGGCAGUGGUGGGUAAUUUCCUCCAACUCCACCAACUCCAUGGAUCUGAGGGUAGAUCCACCGUUUUCGUGGAGCAGAUCCGUGGUGGAGUUGUUGGAUCUAAAACCGUUUGGCUGAAAAAAUCUAGAGCAGAGCUGUUUUUGAGGAUCUGGAGCUGCGUGGAGCUCUACCAAACACAGGAACAAGAUGAGAUAUCCACUAUUGGAUGGAGAUCUAAUGGUCCGAAAAAAUUGGGUAUGGAGAGGAAAUUAAAAAAUGUUCAGGUGUGGUAUACAAACAUGUCUUUAAAAAUACUUAUUGUUUUACCACUCAAAGGAAACUGACCAUGUUUUUCCAUCCUGCCCAUCAAUGAUAAAUGCGCUUUUAAGAGUACUCGAAUUUUGUCUUACAGAGAGUAUCUUUUUAGCUUAUAGUGAGUCUCAUCUAAUUAAUUAAAGCAAUACUCAUACCAAUAACAAAAAUGUAUAGCGAAAGGUCCUCUAACCUAGUGGUUAGAGCACUUGACUGGCAUCAAGCAAACCUCACUGACUGUUGUCCUCUUGGUUAGCUGUCUUUUUUUUUUCCCUACAAUGAGAUUUGUAUCACAGGCUGGCAAAUAAACAGGCGAAAACAGUAGAUCUCAAUUGCAUAAUUCAUGGAUGAAUUUGAAGAACCUUGGUGAGUAGUAGGGUGGUAUCUUCACACCUUUCUCUACCACGCCAGCGACGUAUGCUUAAUUCCCUCCAAGUUCUAAUAGUUUAUUACACUAAAUGAAACAAAAUUCUAUAUCAAACACAUGGAAGAAAAGUGUCGGCGUCAAGUGCACUUAAUUUUCUGAGAUUAAAUGUAUUAAAUAAUAUGAAAUUAGCAAUUAUGGUCUACAACAGCAAGUACAUAAAAAUAAGAUCUUUUUGCUUUCUGGUACUACUUGGUGUCACAAUAUAUUUGCUGCUUUAGCUUUAGAUAAAUAAAUCCAGAAAUUCAAAAAAUAGAAAAGUCAGCCUGAAAAUAACUCUUUCCGAGCCAAGUAUAUAUAUAGAGGUAUUUUACGGUACACAAUACUACCUUAUACUACUGUUCGAAAAGGACUCGUAUGUAAGGAUCCAACGGUUGAGAUUAAUUGUAUACUACAAGAACCUUAAGUUGUAGUAUAGGUAGUAUGCAUGAGUAGUAUAUGUCGUAUAAGGAUAUCAUAGUAACCCAAAUGACAGGACUAAAAUUUUAUUUUUGACACGCAUAAAGUUUAAAAGGUAAUAAUUACUAAAUCAUCUAUAGUUAUGAACAUUUAGAUCUUAUAUAUACUAUAUACUACUAAGUAGUAGUAUUGUGUAUCGUAAAAGAGUUCGAUCUUGAAGUUUAUAGCAGAUCGUGUGUCAAAAACUUCUGUUCCAUUAUUUUGUUUGACUUCUUGUAAAUAUGUUAUGUUAUGGUAAAUUCGUCUCCUUAAUGUAGUAAUUGGUUGCUUGAUGAAAAAGUGGUAACUCCCCCUCCUAAUUAUUCUCCUAAUUAUUGUUUCUCGUCAUCCAAAUUCUUGUAAACAUUUCUUGUCCCCUGGUCAUUACAGUAACUGGUCCCUUGGUAACAGCUUGACGACUCAAAAUUGUGGUAAUUCUACAUCCUAAAUUUAUAAUUAUCGCCUUGUGACUUCCAAAUUCUCGUGACUAAUUCAUGGUAAAUUUGUUCCGUUAUUAUAGUAAUUGGUUUCUUGAAAACACACAAGAUUGUAGUAACUCUCCAUCCUAAUUAUCGUCUCGUGGCAUCCGCAUUCUCUUAACGAUUUAAUGGUAAAUUCAACUCAUCAUAAUAUAGUACCGAUUUCCUAUGUCGUCACUCUUCUCUGUAUCAUGUAUUUUUGUAAGUGUCUAAAUAUUUACCAUAUAUAUCGUGUAUUUUUGUAAGUGUCUAAAUAUUUACCAUAUAUUGCAUGCACUAGUUCUACGUUUAUAUCAGAAUGGUCUCGUUCUCUUAACACAAAAACAUGCCUGAUUAAAAAGAAAAUCACGUACACAUGCAGCACGUGUACACAAACCUUGCUUGCUCACUUAUUAUCGUAACCCAGACCACUAGCUUGCACGCACGCCACAACCGUGAACUCAAAAUUCCCGAAACAACCGUCAACAAAUCAACCGGAAUUAACUACGUGUUUAUUUACCAUAAUCACCGUAAUUAAUGUGUGCUCCAACCUGCUCAGCUGGUGCAUGCAACGGACGCGGCCAGCAGGCCACGAGGAGCCCGGUUCUUUGGGUGGCUGGUUAGAUAAGCUAGUUUAUAGCCGGCAACGGAGUAUACUCGAUUAUAUUUAGUAUUUCUUAAAAUUUGUUCCACGUAAAGUUACGUCUAUCACUAUAACACGUGGAUCAAAUGGAAAAGAUAAUUUUAUAGUCUGUAUAUGUAAUUUGGCCACAUAAUUUGACUGCUCUUUAUAAAAACAAAUAACCACAUGCACAGUUUUAUGUAGGGGUUCUCAUUCCCUUUAGGCACACCUACUGUAGUAUAAAAAAUUAAGUGUGCCGGUGGCCUCUCACCAUCAGAUAACCUGUACGCAAUCCUAUUUGCUGACCUGCUGGCACGACGGUAUCGAAACAGGCCCUAACGCUAUUCCCAGUGGUGUUUCAUUGCAUGGUUUCCAAGAGCGCUACAGUCGCGUGAUUUCAUUGCAUGGUAUCAGUGCAGUUCAUGAACGAAAUAGUGUCCCCCAAUGCAAAAUUUCCUCACAUGGUUUCAUAGACACGCCAUAGCAUUUAUAUCAAGCAUGGGAUUGGAUACAAUCGGAUGAAAUCAAACUCUAAGUUUCAACAGGUUUCAUAUUUUUGGAAUCAAUGCAUAAUACAUAAUUUCAUCUUGAUGAAACUCCUUUCCCCUCUCUCUCUUCAUAAUUACCUUGCCAUGUCAUCACAAAUGCUAAUGUGACACCGUAUUUAAUGUGCAUGAAAACUUCAUGAAACUUGCAGAGUGAAUAGCCUAAGGUCAUCUCGAUAGGGAGUUUCAUGGCAUUAAAUUCAAUGCCACGACAGCAAAGUUGCUGACUUGUAAAGAUAAUUAAUAGAGGAAGUUUCAUCCGAUGAGAGAAAAGUUUCAUCCUCAUGAUACUCAUGUGGCACAAUUACCUAGUUCUCAAUCUAGGUAAAUGUGCAAUGAAACUAUGCAGUGAGACUGACCUAAGAACCACAAAGAGACUAGCUGGUUAUUAGUGAAUUUGUUGGUAAACUCUAAACAAUUUCAGUUCCAUAAUACAAGUUGUUUUAGUCAUAGUCACACGAAUUAAAGGCAAUGAAUGGACCAUUAUCCUAUCCUUAGCUAGUACUCUCUAAAGUGUGCAUUCAUUAAGUAGGGGCAGGACAAGAAAGUUGCCAGUAGUAGAACAACAAAUAUUUUAAAAGCACUUGUCUAUAGCACACUGAACGUUUUUUUCAACAUUUGUUUUUUUAUUGUCAUUUUGCACGCACAGUGUAGUCCAUCAAACAUGAAACCCAGGUCUUCCGCAACCUCAUAGCAUAUCACAUAUCACUACGCCAAAAAUAAUUUGUGUUGGAAUGGGAAAAUUAGUGUGCUGGGCACGAUUAGCAUCCGCCAGCACAAAGGUGACUAAUACCACCUGGCGAGAACCCGCCAGCACAGUGCUGCUGAGCUGCAUGCUUCUCUAUUCUUCCCUCACCGGCUCACGUACGCCUCUCCCUAAUCUAUUCCCCUCCAAUCUCUCUCUCUCUCUCAUUGCAACUGAGGCAUGGGCGCACGGGGCCGGAGGCCAGGUGGCGCGUGCUGGCUCCAGAGGAGGCGAGGUGAGGCCCGGCGGCGUGCGGGGCUCGGCCACCGGCAUGCGAAACCCGGCGGCGCGCGAGGCCCGGUGACUGCACGGGGCCGGAGGUGGAGCCUCCCUGGCCAAAGGCGGUACACGGGCCCUCCUCAGAUCUGCCACCGCCCAUACAUCUCCUCUCCAGGAUGUGGCAGAUCUAAGGAUGGUGAUGAGGUCCCGGCACUGUUGGGGUGGCGACUGCUGCGGCUGUGAGGUCCCGGCGCUGAGGAAGAGGAAGGACAUGGUCCAGGACUAGGAGGUGGGAGUGGUGGUGCUGGAGACAGUGGAGGAGGCCGCAGAUGAGUAGAGGUCAUCCAUUGGCACGGCGUCGGAGGACGAGGAGGAGGCGGACAGUGGGGACACGGUGGCGUCUGCGGCGGCGAGUAGGAAGGGUGGUGGCACGCUCUCAUGCACGGACGGCCUCGACGACACGGGAUGCCGGUGUGGGACGGCCUGCUCGAGCUGCAGCAGCGGCAGGCGACGACGUGUGGGGUGGCGCACCACAACAGCUUUUUCUAUUUUGAAAAAUCAACUGUGCUGGCGGGUGACAUAACUGCUCACCAGCACAGUGGUUCACUGUGCUGGCGGACGAGCACCCACCGUCACGGUGGCUCAUUUGUGCUAGCUCAUGAUUACUGGUGGGUGCUAGACCCGCCAGCACAGUGGUGUUUUGGCCGCCAACAAAAAUCAUUUUUGGUGUAGUGUAUGUUUGAAAACUGGUUAUGGGGUAUAAGCAAAGAAAUGAGACGACUAGUCGUGCUAGAAGCAGUUGCUAGUUGUUGGUCGCUAUGGCUAUGCAGGAAUGAUUGUGUCUUUGAAAGAAAACUUAAUCCUUCUCCUUUGCAAGUUAUCUUCUUAGUUAUUCAUUGACUUCAUUCGCGGAUUAUACUACAAAAACUAGCUUCACAGGUCCAGCAAUAGAGAUUAGCUCGUGGGAACCCAAACCCUAACCUCAUCAAAGGCGGAGGAGUUUGCGCCUUGGAUUGGGAAAAGAGAAAGAAGCAAAAAUUGGCUGUGAGGGGACAAGAAAAUGUUUGAAUAAGGUAUUGCUUUUCCGGUUUAAAAAUGUUAUUGGAAUAUGCGUGUUGGCCAUGCAUGUGAACGUGUAACGGUGUAACAAGGGGUGGUAAUGGAUCAUGGUUCUCAUAUCUCCUUCACAAUCCAACUUAGCCAUACAUAUUUUU